GAGGUUGAGAUCAUUAGACAGCCGAUCUCAUCAAGAAGCCGACCUCAUCAGGAGACCGAGAUCAUCAGUUAGCUGAUCUUAUCAGAAUGUCGAUCUCUGACAUAUGGUAAUAUCAAAAGAUAUCAGCCUCAUACCAAUCUCCGAUCUACUCAGUUUGUAUUAGCGAGACAUCAGUUUUAGCCGAUCUACGAGAAAAAUAUCACCAUAUGACAUCAGCUGAUCUAAAGAUUCACCAUC
rnacentral:lncRNA from 1 species